rnacentral:tRNA from 2 species
GGCCCCGUCGUCUAAGGUCAAGACGCGCCAAAGAACAACGGUGAAAUGCCCGGUUCAAGUCCGGCCGGGGUCA